GGCUGUGCUUUCAGGAAAAGCUCAAGUGUCUGCUCUGGAGAGACCCAGCCAAGGAGGAGGGGCAGGUGCCCAGCUCCUGCCUGGCUCAGGCAAGCAACCCAGGGCAGAGGCAGCUCGUAGACCAUGGCUUCCCAGCUAGAGACCUGAUGCAGAAGCCCUGACUCCACAGAGUGCAGGGAGCAGGUGUGAGAGCAGCCAUGGCGGUGGAAGGAGAGGCUGAGGUGGAACUGGAGCUGUACUUCCCCGUCGCUUGGAGGACACACGGCUCGGCAACUUGUCAGCAACACGGAUGCCACCGUCACCAGGCUCUCAGGACAUCCUGAUGGCUCUAUAGUUUCCACUUAACUGCCAACCAGUAUAAGCCACAAAGCCUUCAUCCCUUGAGCUGGUGUGCUUGUAAGACACAUGCACCUGUGAGCAUUUCGCUCAUCAAACCUACACUUUCUCCAGAUGCCCGUGUCAGAGCUCUCGGCCGCCUGCUUCUGGCCUCUUCCCGUUCCAACCUCCUUCUGUCCUGCCAAGAGAAAGUCUACUCU